GUCGAGAGGGUUCGGCCCUCGGCGUACUGCUCAGUAACACGUGGAUAACCUGCCCUAAGGAAGGGGAUAACCCCGGGAAACUGGGGAUAAUACCCUAUAGGUUACAGAUGCUGGAAUGCUCUGUAACCGAAAGUUCCGGCGCCUUAGGAUGGAUCUGCGGCCGAUUAGGUUGUUGUCGGGGUAACGGCCCAACAAGCCAGUAAUCGGUACGGGUUGUGGGAGCAAGAGCCCGGAGUUGGAUUCUGAGACACGAAUCCAGGCCCUACGGGGCGCAGCAGGCGCGAAAACUUUACAAUGCGGGCAACCGUGAUAAGGGAACCUCGAGUGCCUGUAUAUGCAGGCUGUCUGGGUGUCUAAAACACACCUAAAGAAAGGGCCGGGCAAGACCGGUGCCAGCCGCCGCGGUAAUACCGGCGGCUCGAGUGGUGGCCACUUUUAUUGGGCUUAAAGCGUUCGUAGCUGGGUUGUUAAGUCCCUUGGGAAAUCCGACAGCUUAACUGUCGGGCGUCUAAGGGAUACUGGCAAUCUUGGAACCGGGAGAGGUGAGGGGUACUUCGGGGGUAGGAGUGAAAUCCUGUAAUCCUCGAGGGACCACCUGUGGCGAAGGCGCCUCACCAGAACGGCUUCGACAGUGAGGGACGAAAGCUGGGGGAGCAAACCGGAUUAGAUACCCGGGUAGUCCCAGCCGUAAACGAUGUGCGUUAGGUGUAUCGGUGACCACGAGUCACCGAGGUGCCGAAGGGAAACCGUGAAACGUACCGCCUGGGAAGUACGGUCGCAAGGCUGAAACUUAAAGGAAUUGGCGGG
rnacentral:rRNA from 1 species